GCCCUAUUACAUGCAAGUCGAGCGAACUGAUUAGAAGCUUGCUUCUAUGACGUUAGCGGCGGACGGGUGAGUAACACGUGGGCAACCUGCCUGUAAGACUGGGAUAACUCCGGGAAACCGGAGCUAAUACCGGAUAACAUUUUCUCUUGCAUAAGAGAAAAUUGAAAGAUGGUUUCGGCUAUCACUUACAGAUGGGCCCGCGGUGCAUUAGCUAGUUGGUGAGGUAACGGCUCACCAAGGCAACGAUGCAUAGCCGACCUGAGAGGGUGAUCGGCCACACUGGGACUGAGACACGGCCCAGACUCCUACGGGAGGCAGCAGUAGGGAAUCUUCCGCAAUGGACGAAAGUCUGACGGAGCAACGCCGCGUGAGUGAUGAAGGCUUUCGGGUCGUAAAACUCUGUUGUUAGGGAAGAACAAGUACAAGAGUAACUGCUUGUACCUUGACGGUACCUAACCAGAAAGCCACGGCUAACUACGUGCCAGCAGCCGCGGUAAUACGUAGGUGGCAAGCGUUAUCCGGAAUUAUUGGGCGUAAAGCGCGCGCAGGCGGUUUCUUAAGUCUGAUGUGAAAGCCCACGGCUCAACCGUGGAGGGUCAUUGGAAACUGGGGAACUUGAGUGCAGAAGAGAAAAGCGGAAUUCCACGUGUAGCGGUGAAAUGCGUAGAGAUGUGGAGGAACACCAGUGGCGAAGGCGGCUUUUUGGUCUGUAACUGACGCUGAGGCGCGAAAGCGUGGGAGCAAACAGGAUUAGAUACCCUGGUAGUCCACGCCGUAAACGAUGAGUGCUAAGUGUUAGAGGGUUUCCGCCCUUUAGUGCUGCAGCUAACGCAUUAAGCACUCCGCCUGGGGAGUACGGUCGCAAGACUGAAACUCAAAGGAAUUGACGGGGGCCCGCACAAGCGGUGGAGCAUGUGGUUUAAUUCGAAGCAACGCGAAGACCCUUACCAGGUCUUGACAUCCUCUGACACUCUAGAGAUAGAGCGUUCCUCUUCGGGGGACAGAGUGACAGGUGGUGCAUGGUUGUCGUCAGCUCGUGUCGUGAGAUGUUG
rnacentral:rRNA from 2 species